AUUGAACGCUGGCGGCAGGCCUAACACAUGCAAGUCGAACGGCGCGGCGGACGGGUGAGUAAUGCCUAGGGAUCUACCUGGGAGUGAGGGAUAACUUCCGGGAACGAGAGCUAAUACCGCAUAAUAUCAGAUGCGCCUCGGUCGAGGUAGCUAGUUGGUGGGGUAAAGGCCUACCAAGGCGACGAUCCGUAACUGGUCUGAGAGGAUGAUCAGGCACACUGGAACUUAGACACGGGCCAGACUCCGACGGGAGGUAGCAGUGGGGAAUAUUGUACAAUGGGCGAAAGUCUGAUCCAGCCACGCCGCGUGUGUGAAGAAGGUCUUCGGAGUGUAAAGCACUUUAAGUUGGGAGGCGUUACCAACAGAAUAAGCACCGGCUAACUUCGUGCCAGCAGCCGCGGUAAUUC
rnacentral:rRNA from 1 species